rnacentral:rRNA from 1 species
UACAGAGGUCUCAAGCGUUGUUCGGAUUCAUUGGGCGUAAAGGGCGCGUAGGCUGCGGGGCAAGUCGGGUGUGAAAUCUCAGAGCUCAACUCUGAAACUGCACUCGAUACUGCUUUGCUCGAGGACUGGAGAGGAGAUUGGAAUUCACGGUGUAGCGGUGAAAUGCGUAGAUAUCGUAAGGAAGACCAGUGGCGAAGGCGGGUCUCUGGACAGUUCCUGACGCUGAGGCACGAAGGCCAGGGGAGCAAACGGG